rnacentral:rRNA from 1 species
GCGAGUGAAGUGGGAAAGCUCAACUUUGUAAUCUGGCAGCUUCGCUGUCCGAGUUGUAGUCUCGAGAAGUGUUUUCCGCGCUGGAUCGUGUAUGAGUCUGUUGGAAUACAGCGUCAUAGAGGGUGAGAACCCCGUUCGUGACACGACUACCAGUGCUUUGUGAUACAUUUUCGAUGAGUCGAGUUGUUUGGGAAUGCAGCUCAAAUUGGGUGGUAAAUUCCAUCUAAAGCUAAAUAUUGGCGAGAGACCGAUAGCAAACAAGUACCGUGAGGGAAAGAUGAAAAGCACUUUGGAAAGAGAGUUAACAGUACGUGAAAUUGUUGAAAGGGAAACGUUUGAAGUCAGACGUGCGUUGUGCGAUUCAGCUCCGGUUCGCCGGAGUGUAUUUCGUACUAUUGCAGGCCAGCAUCGGUUUGGCGAGCCGGAUAAAGGUUAGAGAAAGGUAGCGGUCCAGGCCGUGUUAUAGUCUUUAACUGAAUACGGAUUGCUAGACCGAGGGACGCAGCGCGCCGCAAGGCAAAGCUUUCGGGCUUUUCGCGCUUAGGAUGCUGGUGAAAUGGCUUUAAAUGACCCGUCUUGAAAC